rnacentral:rRNA from 1 species
UGUGGUGACGGCGUGCCUUUUGCAUAAUGAACCUACGAGUCACCGUUGCCGGCGAGGCUAAGCGCUGUAAGGCGCGGAGCCGAAGCGAAAGCGAGUCAGAAUAUGGCGAGAUAUAGUCGGCAGUGGUGGACGCGAAACCAAGUGAUCUACCCUUGGGCAGGUUGAAGGUGGGGUAACACCCACUGGAGGACCGAACCGGUAAGCGUUGAAAAGCUUUCGGAUGACCUGAGGGUAGGAGUGAAAGGCCAAUCAAACUUGGAGAUAGCUCGUACUCCCCGAAAUGCAUUUAGGUGCAGCCUCGGGCGAAUUACCGUGGAGGUAGAGCGACUGAUAGGAUGCGAGGGCUUCACCGCCUAUCAAGUCCUGACAAACUCCGAAUGCCACGGCAACAUACCCGGGAGUGAGGGCGUGGGUGCUAAGGUCCACGUCCGAGAGAGGAACAACUCAGACCACCGUCCAAGGCCCCCAAAUACGGGCUAAGUUGAAGACAAUAACGAGGUGGGAUUGCAUAGACAGCUAGGAUGUUGGCUUGGAAGCAGCCAUUCAUUUGAAGAGUGCGUAACAGCUCACUAGUCGAGUGAUCCCGCAUGGAUAAUAAUCGGGCAUAAGUCCGUUGCCGAAGACGUGGAACUGUAGCGUAAUGCUAUGGUUGGUAGGGGAGCAUUCCGCAGGCCGCAGAAGGUCGAUCGCGAGGUCGGCUGGAGGUACCGGAAAAGCAAAUGUAGGUAUAAGUAACGAUAAGGAGGGCGAGAAACCCUCCCGCCGUAAGACCAAGGGUUCCUGAUCAACGCUAAUCGGAUCAGGGUAAGUCGGGACCUAAGGCUACGCCGCAAGGCCAGGCCGAUGGACAAACAGUAAACAUUCUGUUACUCGAUCACGGAGCGAUGUGGAGACGGAGAAGUGACACAUCCGCGCACUGACGGAAUAGUGCGUUGAAGCGCGUAGGUAAUGGAGGGGCAGGCAAAUCCACCCUUUCAGCUGAAACGCGACAGUACCGAGCGCCCCCGGGCAAUCGGAUAGCGAUGGUAAUCAGGCUCCCGAGAAAAUCCGCUAAGCAUAUCCGCGGUCGACCCGUACCGUAAACCGACACAGGUGGUCGGGUAGAACAUACCAAGGCGCUCGAGAGAUUCACGGUUAAGGAACUAGGCAAAUUGACCCCGUAACUUCGGGAAAAGGGGUCCCUUCCUCCGGGAAGGGCGCAGAGAAUAGGUCCAGGCAACUGUUUAACAAAAACACAGGGCUGUGCUAAGUUUAAAGAUGAAGUAUACAGCCUGACACCUGCCCGGUGCCGGAAGGUUAAGAGGAGAUGUCACAGCAAUGGAAGCAUUGAAUUGAAGCCCCGGUAAACGGCGGCCGUAACUAUAACGGUCCUAAGGUAGCGAAAUUCCUUGUCGGGUAAGUUCCGACCUGCACGAAUGGUGUAAUGAUCCGGACACUGUCUCAACCGUGAGCUCGGUGAAAUUGUAGUAUCGGUGAAGAUGCCGAUUACCCGCAACGGGACGGAAAGACCCCGUGAACCUUUACUGCAGCUUAGCAUUGAUGCUGGGUGCGCGAUGUGUAGGAUAGUCAGGAGGCUAUGAGACGGAGACGCCAGUUUUCGUGGAGCCGUUGUUGAAAUACUGACCUUUGCGCAUUUGGUAUCUAACUCUCAGCGAGAGGACACUGCUUGGUGGGUAGUUUGACUGGGGUGGUCGCCUCCAAAAGCGUAACGGAGGCUUCUAAAGGUGCGCUCAGGCCGAUUGGUAACCGGCCGCAGAGUGUAAUGGCACAAGCGCGCUUGACUGGGAGACCGACAAGUCGAUCAGGUAGGAAACUAGAGCAUAGUGAUCCGGUGGUUCCGUAUGGAAGGGCCAUCGCUCAAAGGAUAAAAGGUACUCCGGGGAUAACAGGCUGAUCCCUCCCAAGAGCUCAUAUCGACGGAGUGGUUUGGCACCUCGAUGUCGGCUCGUCACAUCCUGGGGCUGGAGAAGGUCCCAAGGGUUCGGCUGUUCGCCGAUUAAAGUGGCACGCGAGCUGGGUUCAGAACGUCGUGAGACAGUUCGGUCCCUAUCUGUUGUGGGCGCAGGAGAUUUGCGAGGACCCGACACUAGUACGAGAGGACCGUGUUGGACAGACCUCCGGUUUACCGGUUGUACCGCCAGGUGCACCGCCGGGUAGCCGCGUCUGGCAAGGAUAAGUGCUGAAAGCAUCUAAGCACGAAGCCCCCCUCAAGAUAAGAUCUCCAUAUAGGGUCGU